rnacentral:rRNA from 1 species
AGCAGCCGCGGUAAUUCCAGCUCCAAUAGCGUAUAUUAAAGUUGUUGCAGUUAAAAAGCUCGUAGUUGAAUUUCGGGAUCAUCAGGUUGGUCGUGCCUCCGGUAUGUACUUUCCUCGAUGGUUCCUCCUUCUUGAAGAUCCGUAAUGUCAUUAAUUUGGUGUUGCGGGGAAUCAGGACUGUUACUUUGAAAAAAUUAGAGUGUUUAAAGCAGGCAAUCGCUUGAAUACAUUAGCAUGGAA